rnacentral:lncRNA from 1 species
AUCUGCAGCAAAAGCAGUCUUAUCGAAGCCACUGCUGUCGAGAAUUGCAACCACUGAAAGCCCAGAUGGUCCCUCAAUCAAUAGAUCAAAAAACUUCUCUCUGCCCCUUUCAAAUUCACUGAUAUCGAGCCGAGGUUGUCCCUCAUUCAAUAGGCGAAUGAUUUCGUUACUUUUUUCACUGAUAUCAAAACCAUUGUCGCCGGGUGGAAGUUGUUGCAUCCGAUUUCUAAUAUCAAUGAUUUUAGUGUGGAGUCCAACAAGAAGAGCCAUAUCAGUACUGCUUUCACUUUCGUUUUCACUGUUUUGCUGCUGCAUUAUGUUGAUGAAGAAUCUGUCAAUGGCUUCCUCAGAUUCAUGGACAACGGGAUUGAUGUCCUCCAGAAUUUCCAAAAUAUCUGCUGUUUCAACGUCUUCUUCAUCGCUUUCUUCUAAGUCCAACAGUUGCAAAAAAGGCAAUGAUAUUUUAGAGUCAUCCAAAUCUUCUGUAAGGAGUUGAAACAAAUGCCGAGCCAUGUCAGCUUCAUAUUUUCCCAGCAGAGUACUAGCAAUAAUUUCGGACUCCGUAAGAAGGUUUUGACAAAGUGGAGUUAAAUUUGUUGAAUCUGGCAGCGGCAACGUGCCUUCUUCACCUGCUAACACCCUCUCCAACCUCUCACAAAACAGUCGGAGGUGGACGUCCAGCAUAUCUCCUUCUCUCCGCAGCACUCAGAGGUAUAGUUGAAAGAUUAAACACCAUGGAAGAAUUUGAAAGGAAAAUGCCAAGAAACUGUGUAAGUGGCUAAAUUCCACAAAUGCGGCAUUAUUGCUCAUUUUUUAACUCAAAAAAUUGAUACGCGUUCAUUUAGAGAAAAGUCCAAGACGCGUGCCUUUUGAAAAGAACAGGUAUCCCAAUCGGUAUACAACCUUUAUCUUAUUUAAUUACUACCAUGACAUAAUUGAUGGUGCUUAAAUCAAUUGUUUCUUUUUUAAUUUAAAGAAUUUUUCAUUAAAAAAAUAUUUUAAUAUCAAAUUGCCUUCAGUGGCGUAACUGCCUCAAGCCCAGUAACAGGACUAAUUAAAAAUUUUACAAUUUUUGGGCAUGGAAAUAAUAGUAUUAAACGUUAGAAAGGUGAGGUUGUUCUGUUAAAGAAUUGAUAUUGACAUAAUUUUAUUUUGGUUUUCGUGGAAAACAAAAAUUUGUUGACAAGCAAGAAAGUAUUUUUAUAUUUUAAAAUUUAUUAUGCAUAUUUUAUCAUAUUAAAGUAGUUUUAAUAAUAAAUAGAAACAUAAUAUUACGAUAAAUAAAUUAAAAUUUAACUUAUUUUGAAUAUUAUAAAAAAUAAUUUUAAUAUUAUUAAUAGGAAGACAUUUUGUUAAUUUUAAAAUUUUUUAACCCAAUGGUUUAUUUAAAAUCUUUAUUAUAAAUACAAAUAUAAAAUUAAAUAUCAUAAUUUAAAAUUUUUAAUAUUAUUUUAAGUAUUAAAAAUAUUUUAAUGUUAUUAGUCUACUACAUAGAUCAUAUUACUUAUAUAAUAUUUGUAUUAUUAAAAAUUCUUAAAAUCAAAUUUUUAGUUAGUAUAUUCAUGAGGUAUUAUGGUUAAAAAAAAAAGACCUUAUUGUUACUUUUUAAAAAAUUGAGGGCCUGCGUGAUAAUUUUUUCAAAAAGAAAAUGUAUCUAGGAGGGGGAUCCAGGUAGGGUACCACUGUGGUACCGUACCACGGGUUUUGUCUUUUGUGCCAGUAAUGUUGUAAAAUUUCAUUGAACCCCUUUCAUUUAUUUUUAUUUAAACUUUACCUCAUAAAUAUUAAAUUAAUUUCUAUUGCAUCCAUAUAAACAUUAUAAUAAGCACCUUAUACUAUUUGUUAUUUAUACAUUUUUCUUCUAUAUUGCACCUUUAUCACAAUACCCCCUCUUUAUCAAAAUACCGGCGAACCCGACCCGAAUUUCGUUUCCAUUUCCGUCCAUGCCACCGGCCAAGGUUGGUACCGAUCGGAAGAUCGUGCGACGCCGGUCAUCUCCACGCCAUCAUUGUCGCAAAAAUAACAAGGUCAACCCGACCCUCGAACCAGACCCGGAUUUUGUUUCCGUUUCCGGCUACUCCACCGGCCAAGGUUGGUACCAAUCGGAAGCUCGUGCGACGCCGGUCAUCUUCAUGCCAUCCUUGUCACAGUAAAGCAUUCGGAAAGCUGCCGAUCGAAGCCGUGAAAAGUCAUAGAAUUCCCGCUUCAAUUCACCACGGUUUCUCUGGUUUCCGGUGACGCCACCACUUGAGUUUUGUUCUCCACAGUUCCCUCUGUCUUUUCUGACCGACCACAGCCACCGGAGGAGCCGAUUUGUCGUUGAUCGGCCGUUGAAGGAUUCACGGGUUUGGGAGAAAUGAACUUAAUAUUUGUGAAGCAAAGUUCAAAUAUGAAUAAGUGAAAGGGCUUCAUGAAAUUUUAUACAGAAAAGACAAAAGCGGUGGCAUGGUGCCACUGUUGCACGAUAGGCGAGUCCCUAGGAGGGAUAGAGAAACAUGACUCCCAAAAUCUCUCACCCUUUUUUAAUUAAAAAAAUUAAAAUAUUAAUAAAAAUAAUAAAGAAAAUAGAAUUUUAUCUGCUCCUUACUCCAUUUUUGCAACUCUCUCACCAUCUCUGUCGAGCAGCCCUCUCUCUCACUGUCUCUCACUAUUUCACGAUCUCUCUCUCACUCACACAGGCAAUGACCAUCUCAUCGUCGGCGGUCGUGUCGUCAUUGUCACUGUUCUUGCUCGACCGAGAGACAGUGAGAGAGAGGUUUGUUAGAUGGAGUUAGUGAGAGAGAGUUGUAAAGAUGGAAUGAUGAUAAAGGAUUUUAAUUUUUUAUUGUUUUUUAUUAAUAUUUUAAUUUUUAAAAUUAAAAUGUGCUGCCGUUUCUCUCGCCUUUUUAACUGCUUAACUUAACAUUUUUUAAUUGUAAAAUCUUUUUAAUACAAAAAUUCAUUUAAAAUCUUUAUAAUAAAUACAAAUAUAAAAUUAAAAAAUAUCAUAAUUUAAAUUUUUUAAUAUUAUUUAAAUAUUAAAAAUACUUUAAUAUUAUUAGUCUACUACAUAAAAUAUAUUAUUUAUAUUAUAUUCGUAUUGAUUAAAACGUUUUAAAGUCAAAUUUUUAAUUAGUGUAUUCAAAGAUACAAAAGAUUUUAGUAUUAUUUUUUAAAAAUUUCAGGAUAUGAAUGAUAAUUUUUUUCAAAUUUUAACGAUGUAAGAAUCUUUUUUUCUGAUAAUUUAUUUCACUUUUGAGAGAAUCCGAAAACGUUAAUUUAACAUUCUUUACCUUUGUGAAAAAAGUGAAAAUCAAGAACUAUUCAAUUUUGUUUUUAUUUGUAAUUCAAAAUUUUAUUCAUUUUCGAUGCUUUUCAAAAGAGAUUCCUUUAAAUCCUUUUGGUGUCUGCAGCUCCUGCUAUUCUCAUAAAUCUCCAUCCCACAUCUACACUAUCAAACUAGUUGAUGGAAAUUCUUAUAAAAAAAAAAAAAAAAAAAAAAAAAAAGGUUGAUGGAAAUUGAUCAAUUACUUUUUGAAGUGGACCCAUUGAGUCAUGUUCAUUUCUGGUCAUUGUCUACUCUUUCUAUCAGCCAUUUAUUUUGACUAUUUGCGAUCUUAUCUGGACCAACUCCAAUUAUUUAUGUAACGAACUCCAAAGGUUGCAUCUACAGUUGAAUGUAAGAUAGCGAAAGCUCUUCUUUGAGAAAAUAGAGGAACCUUUCUCUGUUUCUCCGUUGCAACGUGCGCAUAUAAAUUUCUUUACCUUACAGUUUAUACGGUCUUGCUGUUAAUGAAUUCGCUGAGGCAUUAUUGAUCCAAUCUGAGUGAAGUAAUUGUGGGUGAAAAAUAAAUAAAAGGAUAUGAGAACGUAGCUGAAGUGCUGAAGGGGCUAUUAAAGAAGAGUGUCACUUGAUCACAAUCACAUUGAUGCACAACUCACUCGUGGCAAAUUUCGACUAUACGUUCUGCAAAUUCAGCCAAACCAUACAUGCAUGAACAAAACUAAAAUUAGAAAAAUGAGGGGUGAAUUGUUAACUCAGUAAAAAAAAAAAAAAAAACUCAUGCAUAAGAUUACUAAUAAUAUAAAUUAUAUAUUAAUCAUUGUAAAGAAUCAUAAAUUAGAAAAAUUAAUCAUUUUAUAAUUUAUUACACAAGUAAGAUAAAUCUUAUAAUAAGUUAUAACAUAAAAAACGUUAUCAAUAUAUAAUCAUUUAAGAAGUCAUUUAACAAUAAAAUCGUUCUUUGAUCAGUUGGUCAUGUCACAUAGUAUCAUCUAUAUUUAUGGUGAUAAUAUUAUUACUUAGUAUUAUCAAAAAACAUGAUUUAACAUUUAGAGGAAAUUCUUGCCUUUUAAAAAAAACAUCUAUGCAACAGCUACCCAUGCUUUAUCUUACCAUGAAAAAUAUUUUCUCAAUGAAAGAAAAUUUUUUAAAAUUUGAUUUAAUGCACAAAUAUGAUGAUUUUUGCAAAAAUUAGUUUUGGAAAACAUAGUGAGAGAAAAUAGUGACGAUUAUUGUUUAAAUGUAUAAAUAGCCUAAACAUAAUCCUUAAUACCAAUAUCCUAAUAUCCUAAUGCAUCUUAUCAUCUUUCAUGAUAUUCUUUGAUUUAUGUCCAUUGGUUCAAGAUUUGAAUUUGAUCAUUAAAUCAUGUUCAAUAAUAUUAGAGAUUCUAACAAAUGAGUACCAACUUAAAUCCCAAUGUUAUGUGUCAUUGACCAAUUUUGUGUCAUUUUGUUAUUAACUAGGUGAUGAAUUUCUAGUUGAUAAAAUCACUUAAAAAUAUCUUAAAAAUCAGACAAUAGUUUGCUUAAUUUUUCCAAGUUAACUGCUCAAGAUGCUCUAUUAUAAAUGAUAACCUAAUUAUAUUCAUAAAAAAAUGAUAUAUUUUUUGUGGUGUUGAUAAUGAGAUUAUCAUUCAACAUUUUAAAAUGUGAAAACAUAUGGAAGAUGGUUGUAAAUUGAUUGAAUGAAAAUAUUUCAGUGAAGUCUCAAAAAUUUGGUACUUGUUGUCUUAUCGAAAGUUUUCUAAAUUAUAUUCGUGGCACAGCCACUAUCCAAACCAUACAAGUCCAAAGCUAUCCAAACCAUACCUGCAAGUCCGGGGCUUAAAUGGAGUACUUCUAAGCAAAAAAACAUUGACUAAAAUAGAAUAUAUACAUACAGACACACAUACAUACCAGCAUAUUCAAAAUAGCAAAAGGAGUGCAAAAGUUCAAGUUUGUAGACAACAUUGCAACCAUAGCAUGUUUAUAGCAAACCUCAAAAUCUGCUAAAUAAAACAAUGCCCCGUCUCAUGAAUCAAUGCUGAAUUAAAAUUGAAACUGAAAGUCUGGAUGGUGUUGUUUGUUGAGAAUGUCAAAUAAAACGGCAUUGAAUGAAGUUUUCAAAGGCAGAAUCCGCACUUGUCAAAGACACGAUCCGCGCCGAACGGAUCGACACAGAAACCAAAUUCGUCCCACAACCAUUUUUUCCACCAUUUUCUUCCUUAAAACCAUUCUUACAGAAAUCCAUGCCGAUCAAAAAACAUGAAAGACAAAUUACACAUGUGCAGUAACCAAUGAUCAUAUUUCGUUACUGUCAAACACAAUGCAUCUGAGCAAAACAUUGGAAGCCAACACCAGAAUACAUAUGAAUAAACAAUUAAAGAUAGAGAAAAAAGGCUUAAACCUUGGGGGGAAAAAGUGAAAAAACAUGAAAGACAAAUUACACAUGUGCAGUAACCAUCGAACUUAUCAGUGACAGCUGCAUCCAUUACAUUGCUCCAACAACACAAUGGCAAACCACCAGUUUCAAAUUGAGGAUAGCUAUCGAGAAUGAGAAAGCGUCCAAAACGUCAUAAAUAGACAUGUUCCUAUUGUGCAUAAUUUACAUUAUAGGCAAAUAUUCUUAUACCGUCAAAGGCAAAACAUGACACUAACAAUUGAAUCCCCCCCCCCCCCCCCCCAAAACCAAAAAAAAAAAGGAAAAAACAAUACAGAAAAGAUCGAAACAGAUAAGGCUACACUGAGCACAGGAUGCCAUGAAACAUAAUCCAGGAACCAAAUUAAUAAAAAAGGAAGCCAAACCAUUAUUUAACAAUCUGUUUUGUAUCUGGGAAAGUCUGAUAAAAUCUACUUAGGGAUAAUUAGAGAACCUCAACUAUUAAUCACACCUCAUAAAUGAACUAACAUUAACCAUCUACCAUCCCCACGUCACACAAACAUUCUCUAUACUUCUGAACCUAAUACUUCCAUCUUCAAUCGGGGUUUUUUUUUUGGGGGGGGGGGGGGGGAGCUAUCAAUUUUCUAAGCUUGCUUAGCUUCUGUGUGGGAUUGAAAUGCUGAUUUCGAAUCACUAACAGUAAAAUUGGAAGCUCAUGAAAUAAUCAUGCAAUAGCUUAUUAUAUUGUUUUAGGUCAUUUUUUUCAACUAUUUUCUUGUUAAUAAAUGUCUUGAAAAGCUACAAGAUAAUAUUUCUCUUGCUGGUCGUGUGAAUAUGGAAGAGAUGGCCGAGAGCUAGGCAGCUAGCUAAUAGAAAUUUUUAUGCCUCAUACAUACUAAAUACAAGUCCAAAAGCAUUUCCCAUCUAGUCAAAAUAGAUAAAAAUUAAAGGCAUACGUAUGCUUUCUUAAUCAUCACACGCACUAAUUAAAUAUUAAUUGAAAAUCCUAGUUAAUCAGUAAAAUUAGCAACGGUGGCACCAGGCUUACAAGCCUUAGCCAUAGGGCUUGGGUGAACAAAAGGGCUGGGCCUCACGGGCUUCCCCAUAAGCUCUCCCGGCAGAUCCUUAAUGCCCUUCAAAUAAAAAGUAUAGAACAGCUUAAAUGGAAACACAAGUUGCUUCAGCUUAACCUGCCCACUCACUCCUUCAAAGAUCCCUGACCCUCCAGUCACAGCAAGACAAGUGUCCUUGUAUGUCAAAUAAGACCCCUGCACCGAUAUGUGACCGUAGUCUCCGAAGUAGAAGCUGUAUACGGCUUCGUAUCUGUCACCUUUCAUUGGCUUGUGCUGGAUCAAAAUGCAAAUUCCUGCUGUAAUUCCCACUCGCUUUUGCAAGUCUCCGCUAUAUAACUGCAAUACAUUAAAAAGAUUAUAUAUUAACAAUUCUAUGUAUACUAGUAACAAUAGAAUAAGCGAUAUUGGUGAUCAUGUUGCGGUAUAUCAUAUUGUCACCCAAUUUUUUUUUUUUUCAUAAUUGACGACUUCAACAAGAUUCACAUACGAUAAAUUACUAAUUUUAUAUCACAUCAGGUUAUAAUUUGUAUGAAGUAAUCUGAAUAUAGAACUUUUGUGCGUAUUAAUAUAAUUGAAACACGAAGGAUGAUUAACUUGCAAAACAAAUGGGUACUAUGAAAAAUUAAUUUACUUUGUUGCUAAAAGGGACAAGAUCACCGAGUGAAUUGAUGAAACAUUUCUUGCUCAACCGGAGAUAGGCUGGGCUCCCACGAUCUAGCUCGUUGAUCUCAUAAACAUACAAUUCUUGAACUUUGGCUACAAUUAAUCAAAGAUAAAACGGUAAAGAGAAUGAUUAACAAGAUACGUCAAAUUAAAAACAGAGGAAUGUUAAGAAAAAAAAAAAAAGAUACUAAUCAAAUUGUUUUAGCAAUUUGAUUGAAAGUGCGGCUGCACUAAUUUUCUAGAUGAAUUUUUCCUACAUGCUUGUUCUCGUAUGACCCAAAAUCCUGCUACAUCAGUUGUAUUAGAAAUUAAUCAACUGGGUUACAAUUAUGCAUCCCCACCAAUAUUUAAGCAAUUUAAUUACAGAAACAUUUCUUGGGGAAAGAAACUCAUAUCGCCACUAGGCUUUUAAUGAGGCUCAUUUUUAUGAAUCUGGAUGGCAUUAGAUAUCUCUACGAAUAUUGGUGGGAGUAGAUCGCAGAUCUCUGGGCUAUACUACAAAGUGUAUGUACGUUGACUCGCAAUAAAUACAAACGACUCUCUGAUAUGAUUCAAAACAUCAGUGCAUGCAUCAUUUUAACGAGAGAGAAUAUUCUAAGAACGAAAUUGAAGGUGCAAUCAGCAGCUAAAAUGAAGCCAGAAAUGUACACGCAUGAGGAAUUUUUCCUAGAAGAUUGAUAUUUCUUUGACUAGCAAACCAUACAAGUCCAAAGCUAGCCAAACCAUACCUGCAAGUCGGGGGUUUAAAUGGAGUACUUCUAAGCAUAAAACAUUAAUCAAAACACAGUACAGACACACACACACACCCCUACAUACAUACCAGCAAAAAUCCACUGAGAAAGUGGGAAAAAAAGAAAAUGCAUAUAAAAGUAUGAGUUAUCAGAUAAGAUUAAAACUCACCCAAUUCAAUCCAUCAGAUUCCAUAAGGAUAUAACUGGAUGUCAUACCGCCACUCCAUAUCCUUGAAAGUCCGUAGUGUUUGUCUCAACUCUGUCUGAGGCCAAUGUAAAUUCAAUUUGCGCAAGCUCUUUAUGCACCACAGCUCUUCUGGAAGCUUUCUCAAGUAAGCACAUGGGUUGACAAUUAAGCUUUCAAGUUUCGGCAUUGCUCCAGCCCCCAUCGUCCACUCAUCUAGCCAAUACAUUGAUUUCAGGUGCAAAACCUUAAGUUCGGGAAAGCUACUCAAGCCAACACAAGCAAGCUUUCUUCCUAAAUACGAGUUCUGCUUCAGUUUCAGCAGUCGAAGGCGUGGAAGAUUUUCCAGAAUUGGCAUGGGAUCCUCCUUUAGCUCAGUAUUUGAUAAGCUCAGUUGGAUCAGACUUGGGGGAAAUUGGUAUUCAGAUAGGACCAUCCGUGAGGGCUUGCUCUCAUUCACCAGCUUCAAGCAUUCAAGUUUGUGGAGUUCGCAAAGGCUUUUGGAAACCCCAGACUGAUAGUAACUCAAAUCUCCAGAUAUCCGAAGAGUCUGAACACUAGGUAGUCUGCCCAAUAUAUCAGGAGUACAACUACUAGGGUUUAAAGCUGAUAUGAAAAUGAGAUUUUUCAGAGAGCUAGAAUAAUUUUUUGGAGGUGCGGGCAGAGUGAUAGAACCAAAGUUUAGAUGCAUGAGUUUUUGCAUCAUCCAAAUAUCCUCUGGUGAAUGAUCUAUGUCGCUAGAUGGCAUUUCUAGUGUUUGAAGGUUUAAAAGGGUGCAUAGCAUUGAAGGAAGGCAUUUGAGCGAAGGGAUAUUCAAUUUCAAAUACUUCAAAAGGAAUAAAUUUUCUAAUCCGGGUGGAUAUUGGUCCAGGACUGCAGAACCCAUGUUCAGUACCCGAAGGUAUUUGAACAUUUUACAAAAGUUCUCGCAAUCUAUCAGAGCGAGACGAUCGCUUUCUGAACUGUGAUUCAGAAAAGAUUGGAGAUACAUGUCAGAAUGUUCUAGAGAAAGGAACUCAAUCAGACGUUCCACAAUGAAGCACCGUUUAACAUUUGCCGUUGAUUCCUCUUCCAUGUCAGGCGUCCAGACAAAUCCCGCCUUCUUUGCCACAAAAUACAAUGAAGUAUAUACAAAACUUGGAACAUAACACGCUUUAAUUGUGCCGCCGGCGCUUCUCUUACUCACUUGAAUGAAGCCGCGAUGGAUUAGUUCUUUCAAGAAAUGGUCGGCAGUUUCUUCACCGUUGUAUGGUACGAAACCUUCAGCUACCCACAACUGAUGUAAUUGCCUCCUGGAUAUCUCAAUACUUGGAGGGAAGACACACAAAUAGAUGAAGCAGACUUUCAAAUGAAAAGGUAACUCCAUCACAGAAAAAAUUUGUCUCCAAACUGUCGGAAUCGCUUCGCCUUGAAGAUAAUUUUCUAAUGGCAUACUUCCAUAGUGUAGGAUGAAAAAUUGCCAGGCUUCAUGCUUUAAUCUGAUCAAUGGUCCUCCAAAGAGCACUGAAUCACGCCGAAUCUUCUCUCCGUUUUCCAUUUCCAACGACGCAAGGAGGUCUGGAUCAGUGACCAAUAUCAAUACUCUGCUUCCAUUCUGAUUACCAGGAAGAACUUCUUCAAGAUCAUCCCAUAUCUCACGUUCAUUGAAGACAUCAUCAAGCACAAUAAAGUACUUCUUGUUGGUUAGGUAAUCUCGAAGAACAGAUUUCUUCGAUUGAUAAUCUUCACCGAUAAUUACACUAACCCGAGAUGGAGGCAUCACAGACUUGAUUAUGUCAUCCAAUAUCUUGCCAAAAUCGUAGGCUAAGGAAACCCUGACCCAAGCAAGACAGUCAAAAUAGAACUUGACGUGAUCAUUAUUGUAAGUAUCUGCAGCAAAAACAGUCUUGUCGAAGCCACUGCUGUCGAGAAUUGCAACCGCUGCAAGCCCAGAUGGUCCCUCAAUCAAUAGAUCAAACAACUCCUCUCUGCCCCUUUCAAAUUCAUUGAUAUCAAGCCGAGGUUGUCCCUCACUCAAUAGGCGAAUGAUUUCGUUACUUUUUUCACUGAUAUCAAAACCAUUGUCGCCGGGUGGAAGUUGUUGCAUCCGAUUUCUAAUAUCAAUGAUUUGACUGUGGAGUCCAUCAAGAAGAGCCAUAUUAGUGCUGCUUUCACUUUCGUUUUCACUGUUUUGCUGCUGCAUGAUGUUGAUGAAGAAUGUGUCAAUGGCUUCCUCAGAGUCACGGACAAAGUUAUUGAUGUCCUCCAGAAUUUCAAAAAUAUCUGCUGUUUCAACGUCUUCUUCAUCGCUUUCCUCUAAGUCCAACAGUUGCAAAAAAGGCAAAGAUAUUUUGGAGUCAUCGAAUUCUUCUCUAAUGAGUUGAAACAAAUGCCGAGCCAUGCCAGCUUCAUAUUUUCCCAGCAGAGUAGUAGCAAUAAUUUCGGACUCCGUAAGAAG